rnacentral:rRNA from 1 species
UACAGAGGGUGCAAGCGUUAAUCGGAAUUACUGGGCGUAAAGCGCGCGUAGGCGGCUUGGUCAGUCGGAUGUGAAAGCCCCGGGCUCAACCUGGGAACUGCAUUCGAUACUGCCAGGCUAGAGUAUGGUAGAGGGUAGUAGAAUUCCUGGUGUAGCGGUGAAAUGCGUAGAUAUCAGGAGGAAUACCAGUGGCGAAGGCGGCUACCUGGACCAAUACUGACGCUGAGGUGCGAAAGCGUGGGGAGCAAACAGGAUUAGAAACCCCAGUAGUCC